rnacentral:misc_RNA from 1 species
UUGAUGUUCAAAUAGUUGGCAGCCUGGAAACAUAAUCAAAUGCUCAAAUAUGAGUUCUUGGCCAGGCCUACAACCCAGUGAUCUGUGAACACAUGGGAAUUGAGAAAGCAUCAUUCCUAUUGUUCAAAUGUUUUUCAUUUCUACACAAAUAAUAAUAGUGCCCACAGCAUUUUAAAGGUUUCAAUUGAUUGCAAUUUAGUCCACCAAGUGACUGCAUUAUUAAUAAGAAUGAAAAUAAAAGUCUACAAGCAGUGUAUGUAAAAAUCAAAUCUUACAUUGAACCCGUUCUAAUUUCUAUGAACCAGAGAAGUGUUAAUUGUGCCACAAAAUACGAAUAUUUCAAAACAACAAUCAUUACAAAUAUUAGCAUUUUGGACGGAGAUUUACAGCAGUACGAGCAAUGUACUGUUCUCAUCCGAAUUACGUGAGUUGAAAACCUAACAGUAACCUAAUCAAUCCAAAAUGCUAAUAUUUGUAUCAGUGCAUUGAUGAUUUUCACAUUUGUACUUUAAAUUUUAUAAUAAUAUAAUAUUGAAAGCAUUAUUCAAGAUUCCUAUCAUACUUAGGAUUGGCAAUCAGAAAUCAAUAUAUAGAAAACAAUUAGAUACCGACCCAACAAUUAAACUCAUUAACUAUAGUGGCAUCAGCAUAGAAGUUUGUAGUAGGAGAGGAUGAACACAAAU